UUUGUUGUGUAUUCUUGCUUUUGAGCAUUUUGCCUGUCACCUAUCAGAAUUCUGCAAAAGAAAAUUCACACCCAGAUUAUGCUGGCCUAAAAAAACAUAAAAGAGUUUGUAAAAACACUUCUGUCUUUAUCAAAAUCCUAUAUACAAUACAUGUAACUAUGUCUCCUUGUUUUCCAGUAAAUUGUUACUCAAAUUUUAAUUAUGGUGAUUUUAAGUUUUUUUUUUUUGCCAUCAAUAGUGCUGUUUCUUUGCUAAAAACAUUUACAAACAGAGAAGAUUCUAUCAAGUAUUUAUAAAUACAGAUUUCUGAUGAAAUGAACAAACUAAAAAAUUCUGAUUAAAGAAAGCUGACAGAUUUAUAAAACUGUUACUUUAGAUCAUACAAAAGAAUAAAUUCAUAGAGACUUGAACUAGUCAAGUUGUAGGUUUCUGUUUCUUUUACUUAGAGCAUUGCUUCUCUACUUAAAUGUUGUCUCUCAAGUUUAAAGAUUUACUGUGAUUUCUAGAGUUUAUAACACUCUGGUAGACUAUGUUUUUAUAAACAAAAGUAAAGAUAUUUACUUUUUCUUCCCACUAAAUUCACCCAACAUUCAAAAACAACUUAAUGAGAAGUUUUGGUUUACAUAACAAUGUAAUUAGUUUCAAAAAUUAAUUUAAAAAUGUGUUUUUGUAAUAAAACAUAAUUUAAACACUGAUUAAUCUAAAAAUAAACAAAAAUGCCAGACUUCAAGUACUGGCAUUUCAAUGAGUAAAUGAAAUGAUCCCUUCUUAAUAGAUCUUGGGGCAAGCAUUGUGGUGUAGCAAGUAAAGCAGCCAUCUGUGGUGCCAACUUCCCAUAUCAUUGCCAAUUUGAAUCCCAGCUGUACAGUUCUGAUUCAGCUCCCUGAUAAUGUGCCUUAGACAGCAGUGGGAGAUGGCUCAAGUGCUUAGGUAUUGCACCCAUGUGGGAUACUCGGAAAAAGCUAAAGCUCCUGGCUUCAACCAAGCUCAGCCAUGGCCUUUGUGGCCAUCUGGGGAGUGAACCUGCAGAUGGAAGAUCUCUCUCUCUCUCUGCCAUUCAGAUAAAUAAUUCAUUUAAAAUAGAAAAGUAAAUUUUUAAAGAUUUAUUUACUUAUUUGGAAGGUAGAAUUACAGAGAGAUGGUUGCAGAGAGAGAUAGAUCUUCCAUCUACUGGUUCACUCCCCUAAUGGCUGCAACAGCUGGAGCUGGGCCAAUCUGAAGCCAGAGCCAGAAGCUUCUUUCAUGUCUCCCGCAUAGGUGCAGGGACCCAAGCACUUGGGCCAGCUUCUUAUGUUUUUCCAGGAUGGAACAAAGAGCUGGAUCAGAAAUGGAGCUUUCAGGACUGGAAAUAGCAUCCAUAUGGGAUGCUGGCACUGUAGUCAGAGGAUUUGUGCAAUGAGUUGCCUGCCAGUUGUGUAGCUUAACUACCUUCAUUGGUAACUAUACCCACUGACCACACUGGGCUUGAUUAUGAAACUACACCUAGACACAUCUAGAGACUUUAGCCCAGGAGCAAUAUAAUGGAACCAAAUAGUGUUUGUGAGUAUUCUACAAUAUGAUAGGAGUCACUGUGCACCUAUUCCCUAUGUAGGAUCUCUGUCCUUAAUUUGUUGUACUAUGCCAAUUAAUGCUAAAACUAGUCUUCAAACAGUACUUUAUACUUUGUGUGUCUGUGUGGGUACAGUCUGUUGAAAUCUUUACUUAGUAUAUAUACUAAGUUGAUCUUCUGUAUAUAAAGAUAAUUAAAAAUGAAUCUUAAUGAAGAAUGGGAUGGGAGAGGGAGUAGGGGAUGGGAUGGUUUGCAGAUGGGAGGGAGGUUAUGGGGGGAAAACUGCUAUAAUCCAAUAGUUGUACUUUUGAAAUUUAUAUUUAUUAAAAGUUUUCUACAAAAAGAAAACAGUUGAAAAGUUAAAAAAAGAAAUUGACUGACAGUACUGACACGGAUGCUGGCAUUGUUGCACCAUUACUCUUAUUCCACAGAGGGGAUUUCAAAAAUACAUACUUAGGAGUCAGCAUUAUGGCACAGCAGGUUAAGCUGCCACUUGCAGCACUGGCAUCCCAUAUCAGUGAGUCAGUUAGGAUGCAGGCUGGUGUGCCUCUAAUCCAGCUUCCUGCUAAUGCACCUGGGAAGGCAGCAGCAGUUGGCUCAAGUGCUUGGGCCCCUGACCCUUAUCUAGGAGACACAGAUAGAGUUCCAGUGUCCUGGCUUUGUUCUGACCAGAACUGAUUUGAGCCAUUUUGGAAGUAAAACAGUGAAUAGAAGAUCUCUUUGUCUAUCUCCUUCUUUCUUCCAUUCUGCUUUUCAAAUAAAUAUUUUAAAAAUAUAUGUAUACAUAUGUAUAUAUGCAUGUACAGACAUACACAAAAAAUUUUUUAAAAAAUUUAUUUAUUUAUUUGAAAGGCAGAGUUACAGAGAGGCAGAAGCAGGGAGAGAGAGCACUUCCAUCCACUGGUUCACUUCCCAGGUGCCUGCAAUGGUCAGAGUUGUGCCAAUCCAGAGCCAGGAGCUUCUUCCAGGUCUCCCAUAUGGAUGCAGGGUCCUAAGAACUUGGAGCAUUUUCUACUACUUUCCCAGGCAAUAGCAGAGAGCUGGAUUAGAAUUAGAGAAGCCAGGACUUGAAGCAGUGCCCAUAUGAGUUGCUGGCACUGCAGGCAGAAGCUUUGCCCGCCACAGCUCUGGACCUUACCUUACACAAAACUUUUAAAAAACACUUUACUGUGGUAUGAUUAAUAUAAAAAUAGGUAUUCACAGCUUGCUCUGUUGGUGAUAAGCAUAUACCUGUGACAUUGUUACCAGCAUUAAGGCCAUCAUAGGAUUAUUUUCUUAUUUUAUUUUUCAGUUUGUUUUUAAUGUAUAGAAAUAGAAAUGACUUUUGUGUGCUGAUUUUGUAUCCUAAAACUUACCGAACUUGUUUGUAAGUUCUAAUAUAUUUUUGAUAGAGUCUUUAGAAUUUUCUAUGUGUGAAACUGUGAUAUCAGCACACAGAGAUAGCAGUUCUCAAGAGAGAUUUGAUCAUUUGAGUUCAGGCUCUGCCUAACUGUUGUAUCUCCCCUUCCUGACAAUAUAUGAUGAUGCCUCCACAUCCAUGAGCAAUGUCUAUCCACGAUGUACUAUGGAGCCACCAGAUUCUGUAGCCUCCAACCAUAAGCUGAAACAAAUCCUUUCUUUCCAAAGAAACUCUUCUCAGGUAUUGUAGUUAAAAUAAUGUAAAGUAGAAUAAUGCAAACCCCUAGAUAUUUGGAUUUACUUCUGGAACAGAGUUAAAUUCGAUGGGGAAAAAAUCUCCAUGCCCACAUGAGAGAAACAGGUAUAUUAGAAGGUAAUAUGACAUUUCAUAUAAGUUAAAAUUAAUUUUUCAACAAAAUAUAUUGAAAUAACUGGUUGUGUUUGAGAGAAAAUGUGGGUAGUUCUUCCAGGCUUUUUCCCACCAAGUUUUAGGAAAUUUCACAAAGAUCCACAUGACUGACAUAAGGACAUUCCUGGCAUUUCUAAUAUUUUCAGCUUUGAGACUUUAAUAAAAGUAUUGAAUGCAAGAUGAUUAUUUGUUGUCUUCUGGUUUUUUUUUUUCUGUCCUCUGAAGUUCAGUUUCAAAUUCUGUUCCUGCUGUUCCAGCUUACUUCUCUACCUCAUCAACCUCUUCUUACCAACUUUUCUUACUGAUGCAGGAUAAGUAAGAAUACAUCUCAUUUACAUCAUGCAGUGCAAUGUGUUUUAAGAACACACAAAUGUGUUCACACAAAUGUUGUGAAUUGAGUGCUGGAGUAGAAUCCCAGCUUUGUGACCCCCUGCAAAGUACUUAAUCUGUGCUUCAGUGUUCCUGUCUAUGAAGCUGAUAAAGCAGUGAUCCUGUCACAGGGUUGUUGUGAAGCCUGAACAUUCCUUUUAUUGAAGGACCAAGAAUCUGUGUCUACUGAGUACAUAAAAUGGAAUGGAAAUGUAGUCCAUUGUACUUCCAAGGACUGAAGAUUUGUGGAAUAGAGUAUCCUGAACAAAUGUAAAAACAAUGAUAGCAUUUCAAGGCAGAGAUAUUUCUGUAUUUGUUUACUAAUUUUUAAAGAUUUACUUAUUUGAAAGGCAGAGUUAGAGAGAUACAGAGAGACAGAGAAAUAUCUUUCAUCCUCUGGUUCCUUCCCCAAAGGGAUGCAAAAUCUGGGACUGGGCCAUUCUCAAAUCUUGAUCCUGGAACUCUGUCCAAGUUUCCCAUGUAGGUAGCCCAGGCCCAAGAAUUUGGACCAUCUUCUGCUGCUUUUCCAGGUACAUUAUCAGCGAGGUGGAUCAGAAAUGGAGCUGCCAGGACUUGAGUGGAUGCUCUUAUGAGAUCCUAGCAUCACAAGCAGAAAUUGAACCUAUUGAACCACAAUGCUGGCCUCUAAAGCACAGAUAUUUAAAAUAGAAAUUAUUUUUUAUUACAGGAACUUUAAAGGGAAAACACAGAAAGGAAGCCUGGUGCCAUUAAUUUGGUUUUGGCCACUGUGUUUACUAACAGACUAUUUGGACUUCAUACAGGGUGCUGGUACCUUCAAGGGGAAAGUUAAUACUGAAGUACAGAUGGCUUCAGAACUAGCCAUUGCUGCACUUGGGGAAAAAUGGUGGUGUUGUCACUACACCCUCUGACCCAAAACAUCUGGAGUUACAAAGAAAGGAAAAGGAGGAGAGAGAGAUCUUCCAUUAACUGGUUUACUUUCCAUAUGGCCACUACAGGAAGGACUGGGCCAGGCUAAAACCAGGAGCCUGAAUCUUUUUCCAACUCUCCCAUGCGAGUGCAGAGGUACAAGCACUUAAACCAUAUUCUUCUGUUUUCCAGGUGCAUUAGAAUGGAGCUACCUCAGAAAUGCAGCUGCUGGGUCUCAAAUUGGUGCCCAUAUGGGAGGACAGCAUUGCAGGUGGAGGCCUAACCUGCUAUGCCAAAAUACUGGUCCCAGUUCUUGCUUUUUCUAAAUAUUUUGACUCUAAGAUAGCUCAGAACUCCUGUUUUAGCUACUUUAAAAGUUACCUGUGGAUAUAGUAUGGAAGAAGAGAGAUGAUAGGAUGUGAAGAUGGUUGCAAAAAUAAUGCCACCAUACAGCAAAAUGUAUUUUUAAUUUGUGCACCACUGAGUCAGGAGUAGAAUUCUUUCUUUUAAAAUUAUAACCAAGCAGUAUCCCCCAAAACUUUCUAUCAGUAUAAAAGGAGUCAUGCUUCUUUGGGAAAUUAUGUGAUAUUGAAAUAUUUAUAUAGUUAACAUAAGGAAAUAAUGAUUGUAAAAAGUAAAACAAAACUUCAAAGAAGAUAGAUACUGUUCUGAGGUGUCAUAUUACAUCAAAAAAUUUCAAUGACUUUUUUUUUUCUGACAGCUUUCUAUUGGCAUGUUUGAACUAUACUUCCUCACCAAAGCCAUUUGAAAUGAAAUCCAUUAGGCAAGUUACUCCACCUCUCUUAAAUUGUGUAAAGUACCAUGGCAAUCUUUGCCACCUACAAGGAUAUACAAUAUGACCUCUGAAUUCUCUCCCAGUAAGUGGUAAUGCCUUGAUGAUAAAUAUGUUUUCUUCAGCAGAAGAACACUUCUUUUACCUUAGCUUAUGUGUAGAGAAAUAGGCUUCCUCAAAUUUUACAAUCUUGUUCUGUAUCUGGAUCUGCAGCAGGGGAACAAACUGGAGAGAGAACAGUUUUAGUGUAUCAGAGUGUGUGCCACCAUCACCCUGGAGUUACUGCAUCCCCUUAUUUGUGCUCACCUUUGUGAUUCAGUACUUGUGGAGCAGCUAGUAUCACCUCUACAUGAAAAAUUCACUGGUUCACUCUUCAAAUGGACCCAAUGGCCAGAGCUGGGCCAGUUUGAAUCCAGGAUCCAGAAGCUUCUUCAUGUUCUCCCAUGUGAGUGCAGGUGUCCAAGUAUUUGGAAUGAUUCCACUGCUUUCCCCAGUGCAUUGGCAGAGAGUUGCAUUGGAAGUGGCACAGCAAGAACUUGAACCAGAACCCAUAUGGGAUUCUGCCAUCACAGACAGUGGCUUUAGCCACAAUGCUACUGAAAAUUAUUUUUUAGAGAUAGCUCAAUCACCAUAAUUAACUCCACUUUUUCCAUGUGAUACACACACACACACACACACAUAAUGUCUUGAACUGUUUUCAAUAUCAUUCUGGCAAAUCUGUCCUCCCUGCCUCUUUCAUACCUGUUAUUAAUUUGUUGUCUGACAUAUAAUAUCUCUGGCACUGGAUUGUCCAUUGUUUUCUAGCUUUCUAAUUUUGAAGUGCGUAAGAAGUUUUUUAGUUGUCUAACUUGGCAUUAUCCUAAUCUAAAGUGAACAUAAAACUUAACAUGUAAUUCUUGCCCCUUUAAAUAUCAUCAUGUGAAGUUGGAGAAAAUGUAGUAACCUACAGGCAUCAGUGUACUUUUGAGGGCUCCUUUCAAUUACUUUCUCUAUCUUCAUAUCUUAAUUGCCCAUGGAUGGUGUCUUCAUGACUCCCUGACAGAGGACCUCUCUGAUGCUUAGCAUAGACUAGAUACCAUUGUUAAAUACAUGUUUUAAAUGUAAAUGGAAAAUAACACAUUUAUUAUCUCAGAAUAUUAACCUCACUUUAUAAUUAUGUUCUCAUUUGUGUCAGUAUGUGGAUUAAUACUUCUGAGAACAUGUUUGGGAUCUAGUAAGGACUCAGUAAGUAUUUUCUGGAAAUGAUAUUCUAAUCAUAUAAUGAGGGCUAUGCCUCUUCCACAUGGAUUGGACAAGGUAGCUUAUAAGUUUGGGGGCCAAAAUGAGCAAGAGAUAACAUAAAAAAGAGAUCUCUGACUUGAAUAGACCAGUGGUUUCCCAACAACACUGGAGAAAUGCCAUAAUCUGCUAUGAAUCAUGGAUAAUAAACUCCGGGAGAAUGGGAUUGGAUUGAUUACUUUUUCCUUUACUCUUUUCAAAUUUCCUUGUAACACAGAUAUAUAGCAAUCUAGUUAGUUAUGUCAAGUAUCUUCUUGGCCUGGAGAAUUCAGAAAAUGUUAGAGACAAGUGAAGAGACAAAGUA